rnacentral:lncRNA from 1 species
GGCCCCGCAGGCCGGCACAGCCGCACCAUUAGGCCCCGCUCCAGCGCCAGGCCCGGCCCAGACAGCGCAGGGCGGGCAGCGCUUUGCCGGGACCGACAUCUCCCGCAGACCAGCACAGCACGGAACAGCACAGGCGCCGCAACGAGGCCAAGAAGCGACCACAGACUGGAGGGGGAUCGAGAGCCCCAGAGACCCCCAGACCUCAGACCUGUUUCCAGAAAGGUCUGAAAGAACAGCCUGUGCAUGACAACUCAUUGGCACAGAAGAGAGAAAGCCGCCUUCUGCAGGGAACCCUGUCCCUGCAAAGGUACCCCCAGCAAGCCCAGCAGCCUGGACAUCCCUCCAGCUGCAUCCACGCUGGACACCGGACUGACCCCUUGAACAGGAUGGCGGCGUCACCCAUUCUCAGAGGAAGAGAAUUCACCCAACCAAAGCCAACAGGAGUUUUCCCUGCAGGGAAGGCCAGAGCUGCCACCAAGGAGGGAAGCAGAGCCCCGUGGCUGUGGGAAGGACUGACCCUUUGCAGGCUGACAACAUGGUAAGUGGGUGCAGCUGUUGGAACAGUCCAAACCCUUCCCAACUGUCACCUGGACCUGGAGGCCCUCUUUGGUUGAGGCUGCAAUCCCUUGGAUGAAGUUGUCCCUGUGGAUACAAUUGGUACUUCAUGUUCCUAGGAAGGACCCUCCCCAGCUGGGCAAGCUUUGUGCAGCCCUGGUUUCUGUUGCACUCGGGGCAGCUCUUUCCCAUCCUGUCCAGAGCAAGACAAUGCCAUGACCCAGAUGGGAGUGCAGAGCAGGUCUGGACUGACAGGACAGUCAUCCACGACCACAUCAGCCUGACAUUCCCUGAUGAUGGCAACGGGAUGAACUCGGAGCAGCUGCACAAAAUACUAAGGCACUGUGCAACCUCUCUGGAGUGCCCAUUAGUGGAGAGAAAGACAAUUCAUAUGGUUGUGACUGUCUUUCCUUUCAGUUGGCAACCAAGAGAAGAGACAGACUCGGCUCCAAUCCUUUGGAGUAUUGAUAAGAGAAGGUAG